rnacentral:rRNA from 1 species
UACGUAGGCAGCGAGCGUUGUUCGGAGUUACUGGGCGUAAAGGGUGUGUAGGCGGUUGUUUAAGUUUGGUGUGAAAUCUCCCGGCUCAACUGGGAGGGUGCGCCGAAUACUGAAUGACUAGAGUGCGGGAGAGGAAAGUGGAAUUCCUGGUGGUAGCGGUGAAAUGCGUAGAUAUCAGGAGGAACACCGGUGGUGUAGACGGCUUUCUGGACCGUAACUGACGCUGAGACACGAAAGCGUGGGGGAGCAAACAGG